GCUAGGCUAGGAGAGGAGGCAGUGCGGUGGCGGACGAUGAAGUUGCGAGCCCGCAAGGAUGGAGAAAGAUCGGAGGGCGACAUGAAGCGGCGGACGCCGGCGACCGCGACUAAAUCAACACAGGUCAGUGCUCUCUGGCCAUCUCCUCCCUAUUUUCUCUUAUCUCCGGCUAAAUUCUGGUACGCAUGUCAGCUCUCUGUCCUCAGCCUGUGCGCCCCGACUUAUCCCCCAUGUCGCUUCCAUGUUUGAUGUAAAUCUUUUGUGAAGAGCACCUAAGCCAGCUAUCCGUUACGGGAUUCUCCUCGCCCCGUUUCUCUUCCAACUGCCGUCUAUGGAGAAGCCAGUAUAAUUCUUCGCCACUUCAAUUCCUAAAUCUCCCAAACCAAAUCUAAAGUAUCUGUUUUUCUUAGUUUGCUUUUUCAAAGUGCACUCGCAAAGGUUUUAAUCGAGAGUUUCACAUCUACGGAUGAUGCAGUGCUCUGAUUUUUUACUGAAACCUUGCCUCUACCAUGUGGCUGCAUUUUUUUGCAGGCUAAGUCAUUUGGCUGACAUGUGAUUGCCCUGUUCGUACAUGGACGGAAAAGCCUUAGAUUUAUAAAAUGUUGAAUUGUUAAUUUUGAGAUGUUCGCAAGAAAGAUGUACACUGUAAGUUCGCUGUAUCGGAAAAUGGCAUUUCUGGCUGGUCAGCAAGAGGCAUGUUCUAAUAUUAAACUAUGUUGACAAUGUCUUUCUGGCUGCGCAAAAGUAAUUUAUAUGUCUUACGUAGCUGAAACCAGAUGAUUGUCUUUAGCGAUGGGAUCUGGAAUCUGCGCUGCCAUAAUAAGAUGGAUUGUGCAUAAACCAAGCUUGGCAUGAACUUUCAAAUUAUAUUAAGUUUCCAUGAUUUUAGUCCUGUACAAGUGUCCAUUUAUACUGAUUUUUCUUACAUGAGGGAUGAAUCACCUUUGAAGUAAGAACGAAAAUUCUUCUAGAUUAUAUGGAAGCAUAAGGGGGAGUACAUGCACAAAUCAAAAUCAUGGUUUUAUUUUCAGUUAUCUCUUUCUACAUUCUUGUGCUUUGUUUUGGUAUCAGAACAAUUCUUCUUUCUUUUCAAAAUUAUAUUCCAGUGUUUCCAUGCAGGGUUUCAGUGUAAGUUUUUGAUUGAGGGAAAAUUUGAUCAAUCUAAUGAUUUAUUGUUUCUUCAGGUGAGAGCAUGACAGGAAAUGUUGUGAUUAGUUUAGCCUGCCUAAACCCUAAUUAGUAGACCAUGGUAUCUCUCACUAGGUAUUAUUUACCACCAUGUGAAAAGAGUUGGUCCCCUAGGUAGAUAGAUUGUUUACCAUCAUUUUUAUUUCUCGAGCACCAAAGCUAAAGCGUAAUUAGUAUCUAUGAUAUCACAUUGAGACAAUGAUAAAAACUAAAAAACUGCAGCUCAAAUCCAUAUUCUCCUUCAAUAGGAAACAACCCAAUAUUUUUUUUUCAUCGCCAUGGUUUCUAAUUAGUGUCAAAUUUAGUUACAUAUGAUUCGAUUAUUUAUGACCUGUGUAUGUAUUGCUACAUAAGGUGGAAAUCAAUUCUAUAGUUAAUAUUCUGUUUCAAGGUCAACAUGGGGUAGCGUUUUAUUUGUUACACUCUUUUGAAGUAAUUUUAUCUCUUUGCCAGACACUGGAAAAUAAUUCAGGUACCUGACAAGGAAACUAUUCAAAUGUAGGAGGCAGCUCAAGCAGUUGGUCAUUCAGAUUUACCAACCUUUCUGAUUUUCAUCAGGCAAGUCAUAUGGCGACCUCAAGCUUUGGGGAAAAUGGGUUGGCUGUGGAUUAAAACUGAGCUUACAUAACAAAAAGCAAUUGUGAGAAUUUUACCCUCUGAUGUUGCAGCAGUGGGAUGCUCUUAUGCUGUCUAAUUUUUAUUUGGACAGCAGCUACACACAGCAAGACAACAACUUAGUCAUGCAAAUAACUGAGUCGUGUAUUAUACUAUAUCAGUUUUUUCAAUCUUUUGAGAUAUACACGUUUUAGUUGUUUUCAAUAAGAAAUCAUUCUUCCUUUAAAAGAGCAAGUAUGUGUUUUAUAUAAGGAUCCUGGUAACUUCAUACUUGCUACUUAGUUAAGUUUGUGACAGCGCAGCCUAUUGAUUUUUGUGGAUGUUUUUGUAUGGUUUUGGAGCUUAAUAAAUCCAUAGGUGGGGCAUGUUUGUGAAUCACUUGGAUCAGAUAUUCCUUCAAUUAUUUAUAGAAAUGCUUUAUUUUUUAGUUUUCUUUUUUAUUUUGUUUGGGAUUUCCCUCAUGACUUAUCCGUGAGAUGACAUGUAAGUCAUCUCGAUUUCAUUUUUGUUUUUGUUUACUUUUCUAUUGAAAGGUUCAGAAAUCUACAUCAGUUACUAUGUCCAUGGUCUUGGAUCACUCCUCCACAUAAUCCAUGAUAUACCUCUAGCUAAUCACAUGUCAUUUCCAUCUUAUUUGUGCUGCUUCGUUUACAAUUUUGGCACUAAGUACAAAGUUGCAGCACAAGCUCAAGCAAUGACAUCUUAUGAUGAGCAUAUGGCUGUAGUAUGCGAGCUUGAAUAUUCAUUGUGGUUCACUUACCAUCUUUUAUGUCACAUUGUACAUGGUGUGCAAUAGGUAUGCCAUUUAUUACUGAUUCACCUUCAUGCAGAGAACGACUUCCUUAGCCUAUGAAAAUUAUCUGUAUAGACUGCCUCCUUGUCAGGAAACAUGCUAAGAUCAGUGGGAAUAAAUAUGAUUUGAAGAAGAAUAUAUUUCUCAUUUAUUCUCUGAAUCCUAAAAUCCUAAAUCGUUAUGGGUAUGGCACCAUCAGUUGUGUUCCAUUGUAAUCAGCAGAUUUUCUGUGCACGAAGGUGAACUGAACCUCUGCAUUCAUUUUGGAUAAUGAAAACAGAAAGAUAAUAGAGGUAUGUAGUGCGGAUGUCCCGUUGGUAACACUCUAGGUAAUUAAGACAGAUUAUUGUUGAACAUAAAAAUCGCCACUGAUUCACUCUCAUCAAAGGUUGUGCUUUGAGGAAACAAGCAUUGAAAGGGUGCAUGUAUAUUUUUGAAAUAUUCUUUCUGACAUCAUAAGCAUAUUCUUAAGUUUAUUAUUACCACUUUCUUUUUUAAUCUUUUCUGCCUAGCUUAUCGAAUUGAUGAUAUCUUAGUUCGAUCAAACAUCUAACUGAAUUGAGGUGAUUAUUAAUUUACCUAGCAACGCUCAGUAGCUACUGGGGGCAUUGGCUAAGGAGCCAUGUUCUCUUAGUUUGAUCAAACACUUAACUGAAUUGAGUUGAUAAUUAAUUUACGUACCAAUGCUCAGUAGCUACUGGGGACAUUGGCUAGGCAGCCACGGACAAUUGAGGCCCGAUAGCUUGAUCUACUAUGCAUUGUCAGUGUUGUUCAUAUCUGACGUUCAAACCUGAGAUGCCGAUGUAUGUCAGACCAAUUCCAUGGUGGAGAUUUUUCCUAAUAUUUUUAUAAUUCAUUGUUAUUUGUUGAAAGUGAAAGAAAAGAGGGAUGGGAGGCAUCUGCCAAUGAUGCCCAUAAUUUAUCCAAAAAAUCAAGUUCGUGAUAUAAUAGUUACACUGAGCUGUCUUAAAGAAUAACUAAUGAGCAUAUGGGAUAUUUUGUGGAUUUGCGUGAGGUUUUUUUUAGAUAUUAAUAUUUAUAUUCCAUUUUCCUGGAAAUUUUUAGAUGUUAAUAUUAAUAUUCCAUUUUCCUGGAAAUGUACAAUAAAUCGAUG